UACGAAGGGGGCUAGCGUUGUUCGGAAUUACUGGGCGUAAAGCGCGUGUAGGCGGGUCCUUAAGUCAGGGGUGAAAUGCCAAGGCUCAACCUUGGAACUGCCUUUGAUACUGGGGAUCUUGAGUCCGGGAGAGGUGAGUGGAACUGCGAGUGUAGAGGUGAAAUUCGUAGAUAUUUCGCAAGAACACCAGUGGCGAAGGCGGCUCACUGGCCCGGUACUGACGCUGAGGUGCGAAAGCGUGGGGGAGCAAACAGG
rnacentral:rRNA from 1 species